rnacentral:rRNA from 1 species
AUUGAACGCUGGCGGCAUGCUUUACACAUGCAAGUCGAACGGCAGCGCGGGCUUCGGCCUGGCGGCGAGUGGCGAACGGGUGAGUAAUACAUCGGAACGUGCCCAGUAGUGGGGGAUAGCUCGGCGAAAGCCGGGUUAAUACCGCAUACGACCUGAGGGUGAAAGCGGGGGAUCUUCGGACCUCGCGCUAUUGGAGCGGCCGAUGCCAGAUUAGCUAGUUGGUGGGGUAAAGGCCUACCAAGGCGACGAUCUGCAGCUGGUCUGAGAGGACGGCCAGCCACACUGGGACUGAGACACGGCCCAGACUCCUACGGGAGGCAGCAGUGGGGAAUUUUGGACAAUGGGCGAAAGCCUGAUCCAGCAAUGCCGCGUGUGUGAUGAAGGCCUUCGGGUUGUAAAGCACUUUUGGCGGGAACGAAAAGGACUGUGCCAAUACCACGGUUCGAUGACGGUACCCGCAGAAUAAGCACCGGCUAACUACGUG